UACGGAGGGUGCGAGCGUUGUCCGGAAUCACUGGGCGUAAAGGGCGCGUAGGCGGCGCGGAUAGUCGGCGGUGAAAGCCCGGAGCUCAACUCCGGGUCGGCCGUCGAUACUUCCGGGCUUGAGCACUGUAGAGGCAGAUGGAAUUCCGGGUGUAGCGGUGGAAUGCGUAGAGAUCCGGAAGAACACCGGUGGCGAAGGCGGUCUGCUGGGCAGUUGCUGACGCUGAUGCGGCGACAGCG
rnacentral:rRNA from 1 species